GAUGAACGCUAGCUACAGGCUUAACACAUGCAAGUCGAGGGGCAGCGCAGUGUAGCAAUACAUGGGCGGCGACCGGCGCACGGGUGCGUAACGCGUAUCCAACCUUCCCGUUACUCAGGGAUAGCCUUCCGAAAGGGAGAUUAAUACCUGAUGGUGUUUGAAUUCCGCAUGUUAUUCAAACUAAAGAUUUAUCGGUAACGGAUGGGGAUGCGUGACAUUAGAUAGUAGGCGGGGUAACGGCCCACCUAGUCUACGAUGUCUAGGGGUUCUGAGAGGAAGGUCCCCCACACUGGAACUGAGACACGGUCCAGACUCCUACGGGAGGCAGCAGUGAGGAAUAUUGGUCAAAUGGUCUGACGACUGAACCAGCCAUGCCGCGUGAAGGUCACGGCCCUAUGGGUCUUAAACUUCUUUUUGUAAGGGGAGCAAUAAGUCUCACGUGUGGGAUGAUGAGAGUACCUUACGAAUAAGCAUCGGCUAACUCCGUGCCAGCAGCCG
rnacentral:rRNA from 1 species